GUGAAUCAUCGAAUUUUUGAACGCAAAUUGCACUCUCUGGCAUUCCGGAGAGUAUGCCUGUUUGAGGGUCAGUUUAAAUAAAAAUCGAGGUGUUGCUGUUUUGUGACCCACCGGAAUUGGGUUAUCUUUGACUUUUUUAUUUGAUAAAGUGACCUAAAAUUGAUAUCUUGUGUCUCUCAGA
rnacentral:misc_RNA from 1 species